GCCUCGCCAGAGUCUGAACCAGAAGAGAGAGAGCACCGCCUCUAAUCUUAAACCUGCAAUGACCCGUCUUACAUAUUUGCAGUGGAGAAGAGGAGGUGCUCUCUCUCUUCAUGUUCAGGUGAUUCCGGCGAUAUGC
rnacentral:pre_miRNA from 1 species